CCUCGGCAGGGGCGGUCAUCGCGGCCCUGGUCAUCUGCGGGAUCGAGAUGGAGGAGUACCUGCGCGUCCUGAACCUGGGCCUGGCCGAGGUGAAGAAGUCCUUCCUGGGCCCCUUCUCGCCGUCCUGCGGGAUGGUGCAGAUGAUGCGGCGGUUCCUGUACACCGCGCUGCCCGAGGACGCCUACAAGGCCGCCACGGGGAAGCUGCACGUGGGCCUCACGCGCUUCGAGGACGGCGAGAGCGUGGUGGUGUCGGACUUCACGUCCAAGGAGGAGCUCAUCGAGGCCUUGUACUGCAGCUGCUUCGUCCCCGUGUACUGCGGCUUCAUCCCCCCGACCUACCGCGGUGUGAGGUACAUCGACGGGGGCUUCACCAGCAUGCAGCCCUGCUCCUCCUGGACGGACUCCAUCACCAUCUCCACCUUCAGCGGACAGCAGGACAUCUGUCCUCGGGACUGCCCGGCCAUCUUCAAUGACUUCCGCUUGUUCAACUACUCCUUCCAGUUCUCCCUGGAGAACGUGACCCGCAUGACCCACGCCCUGUUCCCCCCGGACCUGGUGAUCUUGCAAGAUUACUACUACCGGGGCUAUGAGGACGUGGUGGCGUACCUGAGGCGGCUGAACGCUGCGUACGUCGAUUCUCCCUCCAGGAGGGUGAUCUUCCCGCGCGUGGAGGUGUACGCCCAGAUAGAGCUGGCCCUGGGCCCUAAGUGCCCCCCGAGGCCCCGGGCCCGGCCGGAGGAGCCUUCCCGGGAGGACGGGGACGCCAGCNNNNNNNNNNNNNNNNNNNNNNNNNNNNNNNNNNNNNNNNNNNNNNNNNNNNNNNNNNNNNNNNNNNNNNNNNNNNNNNNNNNNNNNNNNCCCGGGUCACCACCGCCUGUGGCACCCCCUGGGCGGUCACCUGUGUCACCUCAGCAGCAGGUGCCACCGCCUGGAGUCCCACCCAACGCGUCCGCGUUGCCAAGGCCGUCGGCUGAGCCUGCGCCUCCAACGUCACCCCGAGGCCGCCCACCAGCGUCACCUGCUCGGCCACCCGUGGAGGUGCCAGGCGCAGAGCCGCCCCGAGCCCUCCUUGUCCCUUCCAAUCCAAAAGGUGCCGCGGCUCGGACUAACGUGAAGGACGCUGUCAGCAAGCCCAGUGUGAUGGAGAGCCCCGCUGCAGACUCGAGCUGGGCGAACAAGGAACUCAAGAGGAACAAACACAGCUCAAGCAGCUCCCAGAAAGGCUUCCCAAGACAUCCUCGAGCCAAAAAGCCUAACAGCAAAGCACAGUCCGCGCCCUGCGUGCCCACCUUCCCGCUGCCGUCCGCCCCCGAGACCCUGUGGAUCACCUCCAGGCCCCAUCACAGCCCGAGCCAGGAGUACGCCGGCCCCGAGGUGUGCAAGCUGGCGGUAUCCCCCAGGACAGACCCCGCCUGUCCCGUCCCAGGUUGUCGGGGUGACCCCUCGGCCUAUCGCCCAGGGAGCUGUGAGCUGAGAGAGAAAGCCCGAGCUGGAGCGGAGAGGACGUGGACGCCUCGCUGGCCCGGGGACCCCGCUGCCUCACCCUCCCAGGCCCAGGCCUGAGCGGGCACCACCAGGGCUCAGCUCCUGUCCAGAGAGCCUCCUCCCCUCUUCCCGGUCUCCCUCGGGGCGUGGCCUCGGUUGUCCUCCUCCUCGGGACCCCGUGCAUGGGGCAAACCUCAGAGGUCCGGCAGGACCGAGCUAGACACCCUCUGCUGCUCCUGGGGUGCCCAAGGGUCCCCCUGGAACCACUGGCGUCGGCCUAGCCCUUGGCCUGGCCUUGGGGGUCUUUCAAAGCCCCCGGGCUCUGCGGUGUGGAGGCUGUUGCUGUGCCUGUGCACAAUGUCCAGGUGGCAGGACACCAGAUGCACCCCAGCUCCCCAGAGAGGCUGAGCAGCACCCCUGCCGGGUCGAGACCCCCUGGCUUCCCGCACCCCCACUGCAUUUGCUUAACAAAUCCCAGGAUGCAAAACCCAGCACACAGGUGGAUGGAUCUGCAAAGCAGAGCCUGAGGGGAGCCUGAGGGGGCAGGUGCAGGCUGCAGUGGAAGGAGAUGUGCAUUUAACAGGGGCUCCGCGGGGACCCAGGGUGCACCCCACACACCGCCUGCCACGCAGGCCUCUCGGGGCCUGGAAUCCACCUGAGGGCCAGAGGGGCUCUGUCCAGCCCCAGGCACACACAAGGGAGUGGAACCCACCCAUAAUCAUGGCCCUUCCUGCAGAACUGUUACAAGGAUCAAUAAAUCCCCUGCAGAGUUCUCCAAAUUUUGGUUAAUUUCCCAUGUUUUGAGGCAAUUAAGAAGAUUAUUCUUGCAUUUGUUCCAGAUAAGACACAGGACAUCUUGUUAAAUAGGAAUUUCACAUAAACACUGAAUAAUUGUUUUUGUAGAAGUACCUUCCUCAUACUACAGUUCUAUGCUGUUUAUAUGAAAUUCAAAUUUAGCUGGACAUCCAUAUUUUUAUUAGCUAAAUCUGGCAACCCCGAGUUAGUCUCUCUGUCCCUCUCUCUCUGUCUCUCCCCUAGUCCUGGGGAUUGAAUUCAAGGCCUUUGCACUAAGCUAUGUCCCCAGCCCUUUUCUGAAACAGAGUUGUGCUGAAUUGCUCAGGCUGGGCUCAAACUUGUGAUCCUCCUGCCUCAGCCUCCCAGAGCACUGGGAUUACAGGUGCUCUCCACCAUACCCUGCUUCUCUCUCCUGUAACCAACACACACAGGUCAGUUUUGAUGUGCCUGCCAUGAGCUUAGACAUUGAGAGGCCUUGCUAGUCCCAAGGACAAGGCCAGAUGCUGUCCUGCUCCCCAAAGUGGUCUGAACGACACCCCCAACCUCCCGCUCAGCUGUUCCCACUGUCUCUGACUUCUCAGGGGAGGAAACUAGGUUGUGUCAUGACAGCAGGCCCACCUUUGAGCAGACUUUCAAAGCAACGGGGCCUGGCCUCACCUGGUGCCCCCAUGAAGUGUCCCCAGCGUGGGUGGGGGCCUGUCCCCCUGAGAUGGGGAUCCAGCUUCUGCUGUCCUCCCCAUGUUCCCUGAACCUCCGAGAGUGGGGCGCAGACCCGAGGUUUGAAGAGAAGAUGCUGAUGCAGGGGAGAGGGCACCUUCCGUCCUCUCGAGGGGGGAUUUGGGGACUAAGAAGGAACCCGGGCUGGGCCAGAAUGGGGGACCACAAUGAACUGCCACCUUGAGAGCCAGAGCUGCCCCAGACCUGACACCUGACACCCACCCAACCCAGGACCUGUAUUCUUUUCUUGUCUCAGCGAUUCACUACCCGAGGGUGGGACACGGGGACGGGAUCCAGAGAGAACUCCGGACGCGGGGGAGACCGAGCCCACAGACCCGCAGGCAUGGCAGGAGGGGACGACAGUCUCGCCUCCACAGAAGGACGCAACUCAUACCCCGCGCAAGUCAAUUCCUUUAUUUGCUCAAAUAAUGCAUUAAAAAAAUGAGACUCGGACGCCAGCAUCGGAGACUCACAGCUAUGCACACAAGGCUCCUGACCCUGUGUGAAGGUCUCUGGGGCCCUGCCCUCCGCCCGCAGUGGCCCCGAGUUCCGGUGAGACCCCAGCACUGCCCAGCACCUGAAAUCGCUCAGCGCGUAGGAGCCAGGGCCUCUGGUGUCCCACACCUCACCUCCGUGCACAUGCAGUUACAGGUGCAAGGAAAGGUGCCCCUUUCAGCACCCUUUACCGCCGCCGGCUGGAAACCAUCACCGCCGGCCUCCGAAUCCACUGCCCCGGGUCAGGUGCCCAGCGCCUCUCCGGCGAGCAGCGCCCACAGAGUCCUCCGCUUCCCGAACCAGCCGGUGUGGCUCCAAUAAAAAUAACAGAUUCCUUCCACUGGGCAGGGCGUCGUAAACAUUUUCGGAGUCUUCACGUCCGAUUUCUCCCUGGCUCUUAGCCAGUCCCAUGAGAUGGGAGAGCGACAGGGAAUCAGCUUCUCUGGCCACGCGGGGGACUGAGGCUGGACCUCCUGCACGGGGGCCUGGCCGCGAGGAGAGGCCGGCGGGGUCUCCCAGCUCCUCCCAGAGCCGACUCCCCAGUGUGGUCUCUGGGGGAGCUUCAAGGGCCAAGGCUUCGCACAUUUUCAGGCGACGCCGGGCGGCUUUCAGGGAUGUUUGUGAAGCCCGGCUUGGAAGUUAGGUAGCAUCUUCGGGCCUCCCAGUCAAAGGUGCCAAUGGUUCGGCUGGGUCCGAGGAACCAGAGUCGGGGCACAGCUUUCAAUCUGGACUUUGACACUCGGGACUGGUGAGGUCCUGGGAGGAGAAGGGGACAGAAGGUGUAGCCGCAGCCCAGGAGUUGAGGGUCAGCACCACCUCUGGUCUUCUGUCCCCACCCUCCCUCCACCCAU
rnacentral:lncRNA from 1 species